GAUGAAGAACGUAGCGAAAUGCGAUACGUAAUGUGAAUUGCAGAAUUCAGUGAAUCAUCGAAUCUUUGAACGCAUAUUGCGCUCUCUGGUAUUCCGGAGAGCAUGCUUGUUUGAGUAUCAGUAAACACCUCAACUCCCUUUUCUUUUUUGAAAUGGGAGCUGGACUUGAGUGAUCCCAACACUUUUCUCACUGGAAAGUGGCGGGUCACUUGAAAUGCAGGUGCAGCUGGACUUUUCUCUGAGCUAUAAGCAUAUCUAUUUAGUCUGCCUAAAAAACAGAUUAUUACCUUUGCUGCAGCUAACAUAAAGGAGAUGAGUUCUUGUGCUGACUGAUGCAGGAUUCACAGAGACAGCUUUGUGGCUGACUUUGUAAACUCGAUCUCAAAUCAAGUAAGACUACCCGCUGAACUUAAGCAUAUCAAUAAGCGGAGGA
rnacentral:misc_RNA from 1 species